rnacentral:rRNA from 1 species
GACGAACGCUAGCGGCGUGCCUAAGGUAUGCAAGUCGAACGGGGAGCUUCGGCUCCCAGUGGCGAACGGUCGAGUAACACGUAGACAAUCUGCCUCCUGGUGGGGGAUAACCCGCGGGAAACUGCGGCUAAAUACCGCAAUGAGGCGACUCCGGGCAUCCGGGGUCUGCUAAAAGGAGCAAAUUCGCCGGGAGAUGAGUCUGCGGCCUAUCAGCUAGUUGGUGGGGUAACGGCCUACCAAGGCGACGACGGGUAGCUGGUCUGAGAGGAUGAUCAG